rnacentral:rRNA from 1 species
UACGUAGGGGGCAAGCGUUGUCCGGAAUCAUUGGGCGUAAAGAGCGCGUAGGCGGCCCAGUAAGUCCGCUCUGAAAGUCAGGGGGCUCAACCCCUGGAUGCGGGUGGAUACUGCUGGGCUAGAGUCCGGAAGAGGUGAGUGGAAUUCCUGGUGUAGCGGUGGAAAUGCGCAGAUAUCAGGAAGAACACCCGUGGCUAAGGCGGCUCUCUAGUACGGUACUGACGCUGAGACGCGAAGCGUGGGAGCGAACAGG